UGCCAGCCGCCGCGGUAAUACGGAGGUUUCGCGCGUUGUUCGGAAUUACUGGGCCUAAAGGGAGCGCAGGCGGCCAAGUCAGUCUGGAGUGAAAGCCCGGGGCUCAACCCCGGAAUAGCUUCGGAUACUGCUUGACUUGAGUAUGCGAGAGGUGAGCGGAAUUCCAGGUGUAGCGGUGAAAUGCGUAGAUAUCUGGAGGAACACCCGUGGCGAAAGCGGCUCACUGGCGCAACACUGACGCGGAGGCUAGAAAGCGUGGGGAGCGAACGGGAUUAGAUA
rnacentral:rRNA from 1 species